GUGCCAGCCGCCGCGGUAAUACGGAGGGUGCAAGCGUUAUCCGGAUUCACUGGGUUUAAAGGGUGCGUAGGCGGGCAGGUAAGUCAGUGGUGAAAUCUUUGGGCUUAACCCGAAAACUGCCAUUGAUACUAUCUGUCUUGAAUAUUGUGGAGGUGAGCGGAAUAUGUCAUGUAGCGGUGAAAUGCUUAGAUAUGACAUAGAACACCCAUUGCGAAGGCAGCUCACUACGCAUAUAUUGACGCUGAUGCACGAAAGCGUGGGGAUCAAACAGGAUUAGAAACCCGUGUAGUCC
rnacentral:rRNA from 1 species